GAAAUACGGCAGCUUGUGCUGUCAACAUAUCCUGUACCUGAGCAUUAUAUUCGCCCUUCGCAACUGCUUCUUCUUUAAGGCUCACCAACACAUCGAUGAGGUCGUUGCGCGUCGCUUUGCUCUCUUCUCUUGACGCCAUAACAUGACUGAUGGUGCCACGUAAAAAGAACUGAACUCGGUUGUAAAAAUUUUAAUACGCAAUGUAGAGACCCACUUGGGAGCGAAAAA